UAACACCCCAGGUUCCCAUGAAGACCUUC
rnacentral:piRNA from 1 species